rnacentral:rRNA from 1 species
AAAUUGAAGAGUUUGAUCAUGGCUCAGAUUGAACGCUGGCGGCAGGCCUAACACAUGCAAGUCGGACGGUAGCACAGAGAGCUUGCUCUCGGGUGACGAGUGGCGGACGGGUGAGUAAUGUCUGGGGAUCUGCCCGAUAGAGGGGGAUAACCACUGGAAACGGUGGC